UACGUAGGGUGCGAGCGUUAAUCGGAAUUACUGGGCGUAAAGCGUGCGCAGGCGGUUUUGUAAGCCAGAUGUGAAAUCCCCGGGCUUAACCUGGGAAUGGCAUUUGGGACUGCAAGGCUUGAGUGCGGCAGAGGAGACUGGAAUUCCUGGUGUAGCAGUGAAAUGCGUAGAUAUCAGGAGGAAUACCGAUGGCGAAGGCAGGUCUCUGGGCUGACACUGACGCUCAUGCACGAAAGCGUGGGGAGCAAACAGGAUUAGAAACCCGUGUAGU
rnacentral:rRNA from 1 species